CGCCGAUCCUCACGCACAAAUCCUUCUUCACAGAGAAUUUAUCCCCGUUGUGUAGCACCACCUACGGUCAGUGUCAUAGCCGACUCUCCCCUUCGCGCACACGGCCACAUCGUCACGGACUCCCUCUCUUUCUCUAUGAUUUAGACAAAAACAGAAUUGGGCUGUGACAAAAUUAAACCACCGGAGAUAACCUUUGCAAGAUUCAUCGCCUCGAUUAGUACUGCCAUCGUGUCCAGUGGAAGGUGGCAUUGCACAGCCCUGUUCGAAGU